rnacentral:rRNA from 1 species
AAUAUCUAAACGGANNAAUUNNAUAUUGCUGUUAAAGGCAAUGUGCACUUUUCUUUUAGUAAGACGUUGUGAUCCAUUAGAAAUUGACCAUACCAAUGGUUAUUGGGCNAUCAAUAGGCCGGCAUGAAGUUCAUCGGUGCAAAUGACUGAAUCUUUAAUGGUUUUGUGUGCUGCCUGGUGAGCGUGCUGAUACCUGAUAUAGCUGUCUGAUGGAUUUUAAAGAUCAUAUUAUCAAUGUUACGGCAUUGCUUGCUGCGGCAAGAAUGAAUAUGUAUCCGAUCAACAACGGUUAAAUUUGGGAUACCUUUUGGACCCGUCUUGAAACACGGACCAAGGAGUCUAUCUAGUAUGCAAGUAAAUGAGUAUAUGAAACUUAUUUGCGUAAAAAACUUGACUGUUAUGGGAUUACAAGUUUACUUUCACGAGUGACUUCUCCAUCCCGGGGUAUUUUUAUCAACAUAUGCAGCAAUGUAUAUGGAAAAUAUACCAUGAGCAUACUGGAUAUGACCCGAAAGAUGGUGAACUAUGCCUGAUCAGGUUGAAGUCAGGGGAAACCCUGAUGGAGGACCGAAGCAGUUCUGACGUGCAAAUCGAUUGUCAGAAUUGGGCAUAGGGGCGAAAGACCAAUCGAACCAUCUAGUAGC